rfam:TPA: Bos taurus chromosome 26, whole genome shotgun sequence.
UCCUUGGUGGUCUAGUUGUUAAGACUCUGAGCUCCUAAAGCAGCGGGCACAGGUUCAAUCCCUGGUUGGGGAA